AGCUCCAAUAGCGUAUAUUAAAGUUGUUGCAGUUAAAAAGCUCGUAGUUGGAUUUCUGGUGUGGCGCGGCCGGCCCGCCGCCCUCUGGGCGUGUGAGUGUCGGUUCGCGUCUACCAUCCUUCUAGAGAGCGGCCCUGCCAUUCACUUGGUUGGGGUCGCGAUCUGGAUCUUUUACUUUGAAAAAUUAGAGUGUUCAAAGCAGGCUUGCGCCACUGAAUACAUUAGCAUGGAAUAAUAAGAUAGGACUUUGGUUCUAUUUUGUUGGUUUCUAGGACUGAAGUAAUGAUUGAUAGGGAUAGUUGGGGGUGCUAGUAUUGAACGGCCAGAGGUGAAAUUCUUGGAUUCGUUCAAGACUAACUUAUGCGAAAGCAUUCACCAAGGAUGUCUUCU
rnacentral:rRNA from 1 species